GUGGUUGUGGCUCAGUGUAGAGUGCUCACCUAGUGUGUGUGAGGCACUGGGUUCAAUUCUCAGCACCACA
rnacentral:tRNA from 1 species